rnacentral:rRNA from 1 species
AUACGUAGGGAGCGAGCGUUACCCGGAAUUACUGGGCGUAAAGCGCGCGUAGGCGGCUUAUUAAGUCAGAUGUGAAAUCCCCGGGCUCAACCUGGGAACUGCAUCUGAUACUGGUAAGCUAGAGUUUUGGAGAGGGAAGUAGAAUUUCAGGUGUAGCGGUGAAAUGCAUAGAGAUCUGAAGGAAUACCAGUGGCGAAGGCGACUUCCUGGCCGAAAACUGACGCUGAGGUGCGAAAGCGUGGGUAGCAAACGGGAUUAGAAACCCCAGUAGUCC